CAAUAGCGUAUAUUAAAGUUGUUGCAGUUAAAAGGCUCGUAGUUGGAUUUGUGGCUGUCACGGGCGGCCUAUCACUUAGUGUUAGUGCUUGCCUGUGUCGCCAUCCUUGGGUGGAGCCCGUGUGGCAUUAGGUUGUCGUGCGGGGGAUGCCCAUCGUUUACUGUGAGAAAAUUAGAGUGUUCAAAGCAGGCUUAUGCCAUUGAAUAUGUUAGCAUGGAAUAAUAAGAUAGGACCUCGGUACUAUUUUGUUGGUUUGCGCACCGAGGUAAUGAUUAAUAGGGACAGUUGGGGGUAUUCGUAUUUCAUUGUCAGAGGUGAAAUUCUUGGAUUUCUGAAAGACGAACUACUGCGAAAGCAUUUACCAAGGAUGUUUUCAUUAA
rnacentral:rRNA from 1 species